rnacentral:rRNA from 1 species
GCCUACGGGAGGCAGCCGUGGGGAAUAUUGCGCAAUGGGGGAAACCCUGACGCAGCAACGCCGCGUGCGGGAUGAAGGCUUUCGGGUUGUAAACCGCUUUCAGCAGGGAAGAUAAUGAUGGUACCUGCAGAAAAAGCCCCGGCUAACUACGUGCCAGCAGCCGCGGCACUACGUAGGGGGCAAGCGUUAUCCGGAUUCAUUGGGCGUAAAGCGCGCGCAGGCGGGCCGCUAAGCGGGACCUCUGAUCUUGGGGCUCAACC